CUGGUUUUGUGUGUUACAGGUAAUGAAUUAGUUUAAUUUUCAACUUCUAGACCUCCAGUAUUACAUUGCUUUAUCAUACGUUACCGGGAUCCUAAAAAACAAAUACAUAUACAAAAACAGAAAAUAAACAUCACCUCCACAAGUGGUUACUGUGCAUUAAUCCAGAAUGGGUGGUGAUCGGGAUGAGUUGGGGGGUGGGGUUCAGCACCUAUUAGAAAGACUGCAACUACUCUUGUGGUCUAAUGGAACAUAGGUUUUUCUUUAGGAGAGAUUAAUCGGGAGUGAGGUCUGCCUAAACCUGAGAUGAGAAGAAUUUGUCUCCUGAGAAUAAUGAUGGAUAUCCCUCAAGAAUUGAAGAUGGGCCAGGGUACACAGAAUGAUUACAUUUGUUCCUUGCUGUUAGGAGGAACAAGCAGAAGUUCCAUAUGCCACCUUCUUCUGCUACUGCAGCAACAAGUGAUAUUCGAGACAGUGAAGCCCCCAUCAAUUCUAGACUGAUAUGGAGCAGAGACGACCUCCUAUACACACUCCCACUACUGACCCAUGGUGGACAAGAAACCAGAAAUUUCAUUAUGUUAAGCUUCUGAGAUAUUUCUGUUUUUUCCACUGAACAUUAUUCUAAUUUAUGUGAUAUAUUUGAUUUUAGAGCUAACUUGUUCUAAAGCUUACAGUCUUUUGCUGGGCAGGGUAGCAGUUCCAGCCACUUAGUAGGCUGAAACAGGAGGAUGGCUUAAGCUCAGGAGUUUGAGACCAGCCUGGGCUAAAUAAUGAGACCCCAUCUCUUAAAAAUAUAUACAAAAUAUAUAAACAAAAAUAAAGCUUACAAUUUUUUUCAACAACAACCUUGUGUAUAGUUCAAACGGAUUUUGUACCCCAUACCUUAGUAACCUACUCAAUGUCAUAUAAGCCUUUCUACCUUUCAGAGUAUCUUCUUGUCAUUCCUUCUUAAAAUGCUCCUCCCAAAUCCUAUUCUGUCUUUUUUUACUACUUUUGAUCUGAACUGUCCAAUAUGUGACUUUGUCCAUAUGUGUCCACAUGCAACUAUUGAGCCCUUGAAAUAUGGCUAGUUCAAAACUGAGAUACACUGUAAGUAUAAUACUGCAUACUGGAUUUUGAACAAUUAGGACAAAAAGAAUAUUAAAUAUAUUCUUAAAAUUAAUUACAUGUUAAAAUGGUAUGUUGGAUAUAUUUGGUUAAAUGAAACUUUAUUAAAAUGAAUUAGCCCUGUUUCUUAUUUUUUUUUUUGUUUUUUGUUUUUAAUUGUGUCUGCUCAAAAAACUAAAAUUACACAAGUGGUUCACAUUUGUAUCUUGAGUAAUAUUUCCAUGGAGAGCACAAAAAUAGAUCCUGAUGAAAGAAUAUAUCCAUCUUAAAACUUUUCUUGAAGAUCUAAAUCAGCUACAGUGACUUUCUUUCUUUUGUAGGGAAGGGAAAAAUAUCUUUUCCUAACCCAUCUGCCUAUCCGAGGUUCUUAGCUGAGACACCUAUAACCAAAGGUAGAUAAACAUACAAAUUUCUUUAAAUAAGUUUUAUGAACACAGAACCCCUCACAAGAAAAUGGAGACCAGAAAAAACAGUUAAACUUGUGUAUGCUUAUGCCUGGAUUGAUGAAGAGUAGACAGUCAUGGAGAAAUAUGAUUGGACAAAAGUUAUGGAAAUAAACUGGGGAAACAGCAAGGCCUGUUUGUUCAGAUUUUUCUGUGUGGCUCUUUGUCUUGAGAUGAGAAUGUGCCUUUCUUCUGGGUAUAAGGAGGGUACCUCUUACAUAAGGUCUUAUAACCAGCUUGAGGGGAGAAGGGCAAGGGGAAGGUGAGAGUGACCUCCUAGCUUCUGCUAUUUUUCCAAAUGCCAAGCUGCCAUAUUUCAGUGUAGCAUGACCUGAACCCCAUCACUCCACAUCACCUUACUCUAUAAAUUCAUUUUGCUAUUUUUUCUAUUUAUAUUAGUCCAUUUUCAUACGCUAUGAAGAAAUACCUGAGACUGGGCAAUUUAUAAAGAAAAAGAGGCUUAAUAGACUCACAGUUCCACAUGGCUAGGGAGGUCUCACAAUCAUGGUGGAAGGUGAAAGAGGAGAAAAGCCACGUUUUACGUGGCAGCGGGCAAAAGAGUGUGUACAGGGGAACUCUCCUUUAUAAAACCAUCAGAUCUCAUUAGACGUAUUCACUAUUCACUAGCACCAGGGGAAAAACCCAUCCCCAUGCUUCAAUUACCUCCCACUGGGUCCCUCCCAUGACAUGUGGAGAUUGUGGGAGCUACAAUUCAAGAUAAGAUUUGGGGGGUAACACAGCCAAACCAGGUUACUAUUGUAUAUCAUUAUAUUAAUGAUGCUUAUCUGAAACAAUUGUCCUGUCUUAAUAGGUACAAAGCUUUUAAAAUUACAGAAUAUUUGUUAUUUCUCUGAGACCUCCCUACAGUACUUUGCAGUCUACUUUGUACAGAUUACACAUUCUAUGAACUGUUUUAACUGAUUUUGGACAGUGAGGUUUCUGAGGAAGACAUUGAUGGCAGGCUGCUUUGAUUUGUGAUUGUUGUAUCUAUUCUGGGCUCUCACCAAAUGCUCACUGGAGUAGACAUUUCAGAGUAUAAAAAAAAGUUAAAAAUUCAAAAACACAAAAGGCACUCAAAUAAACCAGGAUUUGAAAAUCACCAAUUUCAAUUUUUCUAAACUCUUAAUGAGAACCUCACCUGGUCUAUAAUUGAAGAUCAACCAAAGGUCAUGCAGAAAAACAAAAUAGAAUGUAACAAGUAAGCUCUUCUACUAUUUCAUGCUUAGGUACAUUGACAGCGGGCCUCAUAGAAAUGGGGCUAAUCUAAAAAUAAAUAUCCAUAUUUUGGUUUGAAGAAAUAAUUAUCCUAUGCAAGUUCUUAGACCCAUCUCUAGGAAUACUGAAAGACAGAUAUUUUUCUCACACAAGUAAAUAUUCUACCAUGUUUCAAAAAAAAGUGAAAGACAAUAAAAAUGGUAUUGGAAAGAGUGUGCUAAAGAUGACCAUCUGUUCUCCAGGAGGUGAAAGAAAAGGAGCUUAAAAUUACACUAAGGGACAUAGUAUGUUUACAAAGUAUACUAAUACUACAGAGACUGCUGGAGAAGGCAUUAAAGAAGUGUGCAGGGAAGCAGCAAUCAACUGUGCCCUAAAGCAGACAGGAGAAGCCAAGUGUAUGGCAAGGAUUGGGUCAAAGACCCUUCUGGGAAGUCAGCACACCCCUGCCUGAUUCAGGAUUUGCUGGGAGAGGCAGUUCAAAAAUCUAAGACUUUACUGGAUUGUCAUUGUCCACACACAAUCUGCUUAGUGAAACUUUCUAA
rnacentral:lncRNA from 1 species